CCCCCUUUUUGGCUAAGAUCAAAGUGUAGUAUCCGUUCUUAUCAUCUUAAUAGCUGAUAUCGUCUAUAUUUGGGGCGAUCGAUAUUAAACUGAUUUUUAAAAUGAGGCGAAGAGUUAAGGGUUUGCUCCGCCUUUGCCACGGGAUUGGCCUGGUAUUGCAAUAUUGCAGUAUCUAUAGGGGCGUU